GAUGAACGCUGGCGGCGUGCCUAAUACAUGCAAGUAGAACGCUGAAGGAGGAGCUUGCUCUUCUGGAUGAGUUGCGAACGGGUGAGUAACGCGUAGGUAACCUGCCUGGUAGCGGGGGAUAACUAUUGGAAACGAUAGCUAAUACCGCAUGACAACAGUUAUUGCAUGAUAACUGUUUAAAAGGGGCAACUGCUCCACUACCAGAUGGACCUGCGUUGUAUUAGCUAGUUGGUGAGGUAACGGCUCACCAAGGCGACGAUACAUAGCCGACCUGAGAGGGGGAUCGGCCACACUGGGACUGAGACACGGCCCAGACUCCUACGGGAGGCAGCAGUAGGGAAUCUUCGGCAAUGGACGGAAGUCUGACCGAGCAACGCCGCGUGAGGGAAGAAGGGUUUCGGAUCGUAAAGCUCGGUUGUAAGAGAAGAACGAGUGUGAGAGUGGAAAGUUCACACUGUGACGGUAUCUUACCAGAAAGGGACGGCUAACUACGUG
rnacentral:rRNA from 1 species